rnacentral:rRNA from 1 species
GAUGAACGCUAGCUACAGGCUUAACACAUGCAAGUCGCGGGGCAGCAUGGGGGUUGCUUGCAAUCCCCGAUGGCGACCGGCGCACGGGUGAGUAACGCGUAUCCAACCUGCCCUUCACCACGGGAUAACCCGGCGAAAGUCGGACUAAUACCGUAUGUUGUCCAUUGACGGCAUCCGAUUUGGACGAAAGGUUUGGCGGAGAAGGAGGGGGAUGCGUGCGAUUGGCGGGAGGGCGGGGUGACGGCCCACCGUGGCGACGAUCGGUAUGGGUUCUGAGAGGGAGCUCCCCCAGACUGGAACUGCGGCACGGACCAGACUGCUACGGAAGGCAGCAGUGAGGAAUAUUGGUCAAUGGGCGUAAGCCUGAACCAGCCAAGUAGCGUGCAGGAUGACGGCCCUAUGGGUUGUAAACUGCUUUUAUGCGGGGAUAAAGUGGCCCACGUGUGGGUUUUUGCAGGUACCGCAUGAAUAAGGACCGGCUAAUUCCGUG